AUACGGAGGGUGCAAGCGUUAAUCGGAAUUACUGGGCGUAAAGCGCGCGUAGGCGGUUAUUUAAGUCAGAUGUGAAAUCCCUGGGCUCAACCUAGGAACUGCAUCUGAUACUGGGUAACUAGAGUUUUGGAGAGGUAAGUGGAAUUUCCGGUGUAGCGGUGAAAUGCAUAGAGAUCGGAAGGAACACCAGUGGCGAAGGCGACUUACUGGCCAAAAACUGACGCUGAGGUGCGAAAGCGUGGGUAGCAAACAGGAUUAGAAACCCGAGUAGUCC
rnacentral:rRNA from 1 species